rnacentral:rRNA from 1 species
GAUGAACGCUGGCGGCGUGCCUAAUACAUGCAAGUCGAGCGAACAGACGAGGAGCUUGCUCCUCUGACGUUAGCGGCGGACGGGUGAGUAACACGUGGAUAACCUACCUAUAAGACUGGGAUAACUUCGGGAAACCGGAGCUAAUACCGGAUAAUAUAUUGAACCGCAUGGUUCAAUAGUGAAAGACGGUUUUGCUGUCACUUCUAGAUGGAUCCGCGCCGCAUUAGCUAGUUGGUAAGGUAACGGCUUACCAAGGCGACGAUGCGUAGCCGACGUGAGAGGGUGAUCGGCCACACUGGAACUGAGACACGGUCCAUACUCCUACGGGAGGCAGCAGUAGGGAAUCUUCCGCAAUGGGCGAAAGCCUGACGGAGCAACGCCGCGUGAGUGAUGAAGGUCUUCGGAUCGUAAAACUCUGUUAUUAGGGAAGAACAAAUGUGUAAGUAACUAUGCACGUCUUGACGGUACCUAAUCAGAAAGCCACGGCUAACUACGUG